rnacentral:rRNA from 1 species
UACGGAGGAUGCAAGCGUCAUCCGGAAUGAUUGGGCGUAAAGCGUCCGCAGGUGGCUGUGUAAGUCUGCUGUCAAAGAGCAAAGCUCAACUUUGUAAAGGCAGUGGAAACUACACGGCUAGAGUGCGUUCGGGGCAGAGGGAAUUCCUGGUGUAGCGGUGAAAUGCGUAGAGAUCAGGAAGAACACCGGUGGCGAAGGCGCUCUGCUAGGCCGCAACUGACACUGAGGGACGAAAGCUAGGGGAGCGAAUGGG